rnacentral:rRNA from 1 species
GACGAACGCUGGCGGCGUGCUUAACACAUGCAAGUCGAACGGAAAGGCCCUGCUUGCAGGGUACUCGAGUGGCGAACGGGUGAGUAACACGUGGGUGAUCUGCCCUGCACUUCGGGAUAAGCCUGGGAAACUGGGUCUAAUACCGGAUAGGAGCCAUUUUGAGUGUGAUUGUUGGAAAGUUUUUUCGGUGUAGGAUGAGCUCGCGGCCUAUCAGCUUGUUGGUGGGGUAAUGGCCUACCAAGGCGGCGACGGGUAGCCGGCCUGAGAGGGUGGACGGCCAAAUUGGGCCUGAGAUACGGCCCAGACUCCUGCGGGAGGCAGCAGUGGGGAAUAUUGCACAAUGGGCGCAAGCCUGAUGCAGCGAAGCCGCGUGGGGGAUGACGGACCUCGGGUUGUAAACUCCUUUCGCUAGGGACGAAGCUUUUUGUGACGGUACCUAGAUAAGAAGCACCGGCUAACUACGUG